GGCUCAGGAUGAACGCUGGCGGCGUGCUUAACACAUGCAAGUCGAACGAUGAAGCCCAGCUUGCUGGGUGGAUUAGUGGCGAACGGGUGAGUAACACGUGAGUAACCUGCCCUUAACUCUGGGAUAAGCCUGGGAAACUGGGUCUAAUACCGGAUAGGAGCGUCCACCGCAUGGUGGGUGUUGGAAAGAUUUAUCGGUUUUGGAUGGACUCGCGGCCUAUCAGCUUGUUGGUGAGGUAAUGGCUCACCAAGGCGACGACGGGUAGCCGGCCUGAGAGGGUGACCGGCCACACUGGGACUGAGACACGGCCCAGACUCCUACGGGAGGCAGCAGUGGGGAAUAUUGCACAAUGGGCGAAAGCCUGAUGCAGCGACGCCGCGUGAGGGAUGACGGCCUUCGGGUUGUAAACCUCUUUCAGUAGGGAAGAAGCGAAAGUGACGGUACCUGCAGAAGAAGCACCGGCUAACUACGUGCCAGCAGCCGCGGUAAU
rnacentral:rRNA from 1 species